UAAGCUCAUAUGGGUAGAUUUUGGAAAUAACAAAGACACAAAAUCCUUAAAGAUUGCCAAGUUGGAAGAGAUGGUAGAUGCUUCAUAGUUGUUGGUUGAAGAGCAUCGACAGUGUUAAUGUUCGUCAAUCUGGGUUUUCUCUCAAACUUUAUGAUAAUUAUGAACUUAAUUGCAUGGAAUAUGAGAGUCUUGGGAAGUAAGGAAAAAAAAAUGCUAUGAAAAUAUUGUUAAAGAAUCUUCAUCAUAUCUUUAAGAAAAAAAAUGAAGGGCUUGUCAGAAAAAGAAAACAAAUAAAUCUAGAACUCUCAUGGUAAUAC
rnacentral:lncRNA from 1 species